GAUGAAGAACGUAGCGAAAUGCGAUACUUGGUGUGAAUUGCAGAAUCCCGUGAACCAUCGAGUCUUUGAACGCAAGUUGCGCCCGAAGCCAUUAGGCCGAGGGCACGCCUGCCUGGGCGUCACACGUCGUUGCCCCCCCAUCUACUCCUUCGGGAUUGCGGGGGGCGGAUGAUGGCCUCUCGUGCGCCUCGUCGCGCGGUUGGCCUAAAUGCCAAGUCCUCGGCGACGCACGCCACGACAAUCGGUGGUUGCGAAACCUCGGUUGCCUGUCGUGUGCGGUCGUCGCGCAUCGAGGGCUCGAAAAAAUUGCCGGGCUUCGGCUCGACUUUCAACGCGACCCCAGGUCAGGCGGGGUUAACCGCUGAAUUUAAGCAUAUCAAUAAGCGGAGGA
rnacentral:misc_RNA from 1 species